rnacentral:rRNA from 1 species
AUUGAACGCUGGCGGCAUGCUUUACACAUGCAAGUCGAACGGCAGCGGGGACUUCGGUCCGCCGGCGAGUGGCGAACGGGUGAGUAAUGCAUCGGAACGUGCCUAUCAGUAGGGGAUAACGCUUCGAAAGGAGUGCUAAUACCGCAUAUUCUCCGAGGAGGAAAGCAGGGGACCUUAGGGCCUUGCGCUGAUAGAGCGGCCGAUGUCGGAUUAGCUAGUUGGUGAGGUAAAGGCUCACCAAGGCGACGAUCUGUAGCGGGUCUGAGAGGAUGAGCCGCCACACUGGGACUGAGACACGGCCCAGACUCCUACGGGAGGCAGCAGUGGGGAAUUUUGGACAAUGGGCGAAAGCCUGAUCCAGCCAUGCCGCGUGAGUGAAGAAGGCCUUCGGGUUGUAAAGCUCUUUUGUCCGGGAGGAAAUCCUGGCCUCUAAUACAGGUCGGGGAUGACAGUACUGGAAGAAUAAGCACCGGCUAACUACGUGCCAGCAGCAGCCGCCGUAA